AGUGAACGCUGGCGGCAGGCCUAACACAUGCAAGUCGAACGGCAGCACAGUAAGAGCUUGCUCUUACGGGUGGCGAGUGGCGGACGGGUGAGGAAUACAUCGGAAUCUACUUUUUCGUGGGGGAUAACGUAGGGAAACUUACGCUAAUACCGCAUACGAUCUACGGGUGAAAGCAGGGGAUCUUCGGACCUUGCGCGACUGAAUGAGCCGAUGUCGGAUUAGCUAGUUGGCGGGGUAAAGGCCCACCAAGGCGACGAUCCGUAGCUGGUCUGAGAGGAUGAUCGGCCACACUGGAACUGAGACACGGUCCAGACUCCUACGGGAGGCAGCAGUGGGGAAUAUUGGGCAAUGGGCGCAAGCCUGAUCCAGCCAUGCCGCGUGGGUGAAGAAGGCCUUCGGGUUGUAAAGCCCUUUUGUUGGGGAAGAAAAGCUGCAGGUUAAUACGCCGCUGUUCUGACGGUACCCAAAGAAUAAGCACCGGCUAACUUCGUG
rnacentral:rRNA from 1 species